rnacentral:rRNA from 1 species
GCCGGCCUGAGAGGGCGACCGGCCACACUGGGACUGAGACACGGCCCAGACUCCUACGGGAGGCAGCAGUGGGGAAUAUUGGGCAAUGGAGGAAACCCUGACCCAGCGACGCCGCGUGCGGGAUGAAGGCCUUCGGGUUGUAAACCGCUUUCAGUAGGGAAGAAGCGAAAGUGACGGUACCUACAAAAGAAGCACCGGCUAACUAUGUGCCAGCAGCCGCGGUAAUACAUAGGGUGCAAGCGUUGUCCGGAAUUAUUGGGCGUAAAGAGCUCGUAGGUCGUUUGUUACGUCGGAUGUGAAAACCUGAGGCUCAACCUCAGGCCUGCAUUCGAUACGGGCAAACUAGAGUUUGGUAGGGGA